UUUAAUGGUGAAAAAUCAGGC
ensembl:piRNA 21ur-6305 ncRNA